rnacentral:rRNA from 1 species
CCUACUGUAGGCUGCAGUGGGGAAUAUUGGACAAUGGGCGAAAGCCUGAUCCAGCCAUGCCGCGUGUGUGAAGAAGGCCUUCGGGUUGUAAAGCACUUUCAGUGGGGAAGAAAGCCUUGGGGCUAAUACCCUCGAGGAAGGACAUCACCCACAGAAGAAGCACCGGCUAACUCCGUGCCAGCAGCCGCGGUAAUACGGAGGGUGCGAGCGUUAAUCGGAAUUACUGGGCGUAAAGCGCGCGUAGGCGGUCUGAUAAGCCGGUUGUGAAAGCCCCGGGCUCAACCUGGGAACGGCAUCCGGAACUGUCAGGCUAGAGUGCAGGAGAGGAAGGUAGAAUUCCCGGUGUAGCGGUGAAAUGCGUAGAGAUCGGGAGGAAUACCAGUGGCGAAGGCGGCCUUCUGGACUGACACUGACGCUGAGGUGCGAAAGCGUGGGUAGCAAACAGGAUUAGAUACCCGAGUAGUC